rnacentral:rRNA from 1 species
CAGCCGCCGCGGUAAUACCGAGGGUGCAAGCGUUAAUCGGAUUUACUGGGCGUAAAGGGCGCGUAGGUGGUUAUGUAAGUGAGAUGUGAAAUCCCCGGGCUCAACCUGGGAACUGCAUCUUAUACUGCGUAGCUGGAGUGCAGUAGAGGGUAGUGGAAUUUCCGGUGUAGCGGUGAAAUGCGUAGAUAUCGGAAGGAACACCAGUGGCGAAGGCGGCUACCUGGACUGACACUGACACUGAGGCGCGAAAGCGUGGGGAGCAAACAGGAUUAGAUACCCCUGUAGUCCCUGUCUCUUAUAC